rnacentral:rRNA from 1 species
CCGCGGUAAUACGGAGGGGGUUAGCGUUGUUCGGAAUUACUGGGCGUAAAGCGCGCGUAGGCGGAUUGGAAAGUUGGGGGUGAAAUCCCGGGGCUCAACCCCGGAACUGCCUCCAAAACUCCCAGUCUUGAGUUCGAGAGAGGUGAGUGGAAUUCCGAGUGUAGAGGUGAAAUUCGUAUAUAUUCGGAGGAACACCAGUGGCGAAGGCGGCUCACUGGCUCGAUACUGACGCUGAGGUGCGAAAGUGUGGGGAGCAAACAGGAUUAGAUACCCUGGUAGUCCACACCGU